GGGACCUUAGCUUAAUUUAAGUGUCUGAUUUGCAUUCAGGAGAUGUAGGAUAACGGCCUGCAGGUCCUU
rnacentral:tRNA from 1 species